rnacentral:lncRNA from 1 species
GGGGAGAAAUGCUGAGAGAAAAAAGUUUGUUUUAGUCUCAUGGGUUGUAUAAGGCAUGGUUUGUGUUAAGUAAUUGCAAGAGCAAAAUCUAAUUAGAUGCCGGGCUUCUCGUAACACCCACUCCUUUUUCUUGACGUGGCUCUCCUGACUUUGCCUGCGGUGGCUUUCAUCAUACAAAAAUGGGAGGAAAACUUCUGGUCCCUUUUAUAAAAAGUGAAAAGAGGGGACUUGAUUUUCGUUGAAAAUA